GUGUUCGUUCAUACCAGCAAUAAUGUAUCGGAUUCCAUCGAAACUCUGAAGUUAAGCGUGCUUGGGAGAGAAUGGUACUAAGACGACCUUUGUCACCAAACCCC
rnacentral:rRNA from 1 species